rnacentral:rRNA from 1 species
GCGGCAAGACGGAAAGACCCCGUGAACCUUUACUAUAGCUUGACACUGAACAUUGAGCCUUGAUGUGUAGGAUAGGUGGGAGGCUUUGAAGUGUGGACGCCAGUCUGCAUGGAGCCGACCUUGAAAUACCACCCUUUAAUGUUUGAUGUUCUAACGUGGACCCGUGAUCCGGGUUGCGGACAGUGUCUGGUGGGUAGUUUGACUGGGGCGGUCUCCUCCUAAAGAGUAACGGAGGAGCACGAAGGUUGGCUAAUCCUGGUCGGACAUCAGGAGGUUAGUGCAAUGGCAUAAGCCAGCUUGACUGCGAGCGUGACGGCGCGAGCAGGUGCGAAAGCAGGUCAUAGUGAUCCGGUGGUUCUGAAUGGAAGGGCCAUCGCUCAACGGAUAAAAGGUACUCCGGGGAUAACAGGCUGAUACCGCCCAAGAGUUCAUAUCGACGGCGGUGUUUGGCACCUCGAUGUCGGCUCAUCACAUCCUGGGGCUGAAGUAGGUCCCAAGGGUAUGGCUGUUCGCCAUUUAAAGUGGUACGCGAGCUGGGUUUAGAACGUCGUGAGACAGUUCGGUCCCUAUCUGCCGUGGGCGCUGGAGAACUGAGGGGGGCUGCUCCUAGUACGAGAGGACCGGAGUGGACGCAUCACUGGUGUUCGGGUUGUCAUGCCAAUGGCACUGCCCGGUAGCUAAAUGCGGAAGAGAUAAGUGCUGAAAGCAUCUAAGCACGAAACUUGCCCCGAGAUGAGUUCUCCCUGAGACUUAGAGUCUCCUGAAGGAACGUUGAAGACGACGACGUUGAUAGGCCGGGUGUGUAAGCGCAGCGAUGCGUUGAGCUAACCGGUACUAAUGAACCGUGAGGCUUAACCUUACAACGCCGAAG